GGAAUUUGGCCACUUAAUCGUAAGACCUCAAAGUACAUGGAACAAUGCUUUUGCUGCAUAAAUAUCUCUUCUUAACUUUGAUAUUUAGCGUCUGGUUUCUUCUCUCAUACGGUCACAUAUGGACAACACAGGGGAGUGUCGAGAACGCUGUCCAGCAGAUAUGAGUUAUAUACGCAACAGAGCGGAGUGUAUGGAGGACUUCUCCCGGCCGUUACUCUGUUGUGUGAAAGAUUUAUUCGGCUAAGCGACGCCCCGGAGCAUCAUAAGCUUGAACUAAAAUCGGCAGUACCUGUUGGACGUACCUAGUUCAAAAUAUUAACUAGAAACGUUUAUAAACGCUUAAACCGUGUCUAUAUAUGUUUUCAUUUUAUAUACAAAAUAAACCAUUCAUGUAAUUAAU
rnacentral:sRNA from 1 species